AUUGAACGCUGGCGGCAGGCCUAACACAUGCAAGUCGAACGAGUGGCGGACGGGUGAGUAAUGUCUGGGAAACUGCCUGAUGGAGGGGGAUAACUACUGGAAACGGUAGCUAAUACCGCAUACCAUCAGAUGUGCCCAGAUGGGAGUAGCUUGUUGGUGUGGUACAGGAUCCACAAGGCGACGAGCCCUAGCUGUUCUGAGAGGAUGACCAGCCACACGGUAACUGAGACACGGUCCAUACUCCUACGGGAGGCAACAGUGGGGAAUAUUGCACAAUGGGCGCAAGCCUGAUGCAGCCAUGCCGCGUGUAUGAAGAAGGCCUUAGGGUUGUAAAGUACUUUCAGCGGGGAGGCGUUACCCGCAGAAGAAGCACCGGCUAACUCCGUGCCAGCCGCCGCGGUAAUUC
rnacentral:rRNA from 1 species